UGUUGGGGUAACGGCCCAACAAGCCAUUGAUCGGUACGGGUUGUGGGAGCAAGAGCCCGGAGAUGGAUUCUGAGACAUGAAUCCAGGCCCUACGGGGCGCAGCAGGCGCGAAAACUUUACAAUGCGAGCAAUCGUGAUAAGGAAACCCUGAGUGCCUGUCAAUGCAGGCUGUUCUGGUGUCUAACACACACCAGGAGAAGGGGCGGGGCAAGACCGGUGCCAGCCGCCGCGGUAAUACCGGCUGCUCGAGUGAUAGCCGCUUUUACUGGGCUUAAAGCGUUCGUAGCUUGGUCGUUAAGUCUCUGGGGAAAUCUUUUGGCUUAACCAAAAGGCGUCUCAGGGAAACCGGCGAUCUUGGAACCGGGAGAGGUAAGACGUACUUCGGGGGUAGGAGUGAAAUCUUGUAAUCCCCGAGGGACGACCGAUGGCGAAGGCAUCUUACCAGAACGGCUUCGACAGUGAGGGACGAAAGCUGGGGGAGCAAACCGGAUUAGAU
rnacentral:rRNA from 1 species